GAAUAUAAAGCCUUUCUUUCUCUCUCCUGCCAACCCAUUUUCUCUUCCUCUCCAAAACCCACGGCCAUAAAACCCACAAAACCUACCCACAACCCCCAUUGCUUGGAGGAAGCUAUUGUCAAAAAAAGCUUAUGGAAGCCAUGCUGAAGAAGCCCCAUGGAAGCUAUGGUCGGUAAAGCUGAAGCCACCUCCAAGAAACUCCCGUGAAAAUCAUCUCUCUAGGUUUUGGUAUGGAGCAACGAUACUUAUGAGAGUGUGGAGCAUAGGGUGAUGGUGAAUUCAGAGAGGGAAAGGUUUUUGAUUCCGUUCUUUUUCAAUCCCGAACACCGUGUUUGGGUGCAACCCUUGGAGGAGAUGACAAAGGGGGAAAAGCCAAAGUACACAACUUGGGAAAAUUCUUUACUACGAGAAAGCACAAUAAUUUCAAGAAGCUUGAUGUAGAAAACAUCCAAAUUUCUCAUUUCAAGGCAUCAAAGUAAAAAGGUCAAUAGGACAUUAUCUAUCUUUAAUCAAGAAGAGCUUGUUUUAGCUCUCUAAAGUUCACCAUGUAGUAUAUAGGAUAAGUACAUGAUGAAUUUGGAGGUUUGGUGUGAAAAUAAUAAUGUAAUUUGCUUGAUAAAUAAGUAGCAAUGCAUGCUGCAUUAAUGGAAGAGUCAUUUUCUUCCCA